GAUCUUAUAUUUUAUUUUCAAAAUAUUAAAUUGCAAAUUUAAAGAUGUUAUUCUAAGAUUU
rnacentral:tRNA from 1 species